GCCGGGAUUGCAGACGGAGUCUGGUUCACUCAGUGCUCAAUGGCGCCCAGGCUGGAGUGCAGUGGCGUGAUCUCCGCUCGCUACAACCUCCACCUCCCAGCCGCCUGCCUUGGCCUCCCAAAGUGCCGAGAUUGCAGCCUCUGCCCGGCCGCCACCCCGUCUGGGAAGUGAGGAGCGUCUCUGCCUGGCCGCCCAUCGUCUGGGAUGUGAGGAGCCCCUCUGCCUGGCUGCCCAGUCUGGAAAGUGAGGAGCGUCUCUGCCCGGCCGCCAUCCCAUCUGGGAAGUGAGGAGCGCCUCUUCCCGGCCGCCAUCACAUCUAGGAAGUGAGGAGCGUCUCUGCCCGGCCGCCCAUCGUCUGGGAUGUGGGGAGCGCCUCUGCCCCGCCGCCCUGUCUGGGAUGUGAGGAGCGCCUCUGCCCGGCCGCCAUCCCGUCUGGGAGGUGAGGAGCGUCUCUGCCCGGCCGCCCCGUCUGAGAAGUGAGGAGACCCUCCGCCGGGCAGCCGCCCCGUAUGAGAAGUGAGGAGCCUCUCUGCCCGGCAGCCGCCCCGUCUGAGAAGUGAGGAGCCUCUCCACCCGGCAGCCACCCCGUCUGGGAAGUAAGGAGCGUCUCCGCCCGGCAGCCACCCCGUCCUGGAGGGAGGUGGGGGGGUCAGCCCCCCGCCAGGCCAGCCGCCCCGUCCGGGAGGGAGGUGGGGGCGUCAGCCCCCCGCCCGGCCAGCCGUCCCGUCCGGGAGGGAGGUGGGGGGGUCAGCCCCCCGCCCGGCCAGACGCCCCGUCCGGGAGGUGAGGGGCGCCUCUGCCCGGCCGCCCCUACUGGGAAGUGAGGAGCCCCUCUGCCCAGCCAGCCGCCCCGUCCGGGAGGGAGGUGGGGGGAUCAGCCCCCCCGCCCGGCCAGCCGCCCAGUCCGGGAGGGAGGUGGGGGGGUCAGCCCCCCGCCCGGCCAGCUGCCCCGUCCGGGAGGUGAGGGUCGCCUCUGCCCGGCCGCCCCUACUGGGAAGUGAGGAGCCCCUCUGCCCAGCCAGCCGCCCCGUCCGGGAGGGAGGUGGGGGGAAUCAGCCCCCCGCCCGGCCAGCCGCCCCGUCCGGGAGGGAGGUGGGGGGGUCAGCCCCCCGCCCGGCCAGCCGCCCCGUCCGGGAGGUGAGGGGCGCCUCUGCCCGGCCGCCCCUACUGGGAAGUGAGGAGCCCCUCUGCCCGGCCGGCCGCCCCGUCCGGGGGGGAGGUGGGGGGGUCAGCCCCCCGCCCGGCCAGCCGCCCCAUCCGGGCCGUGAGGGGUGCCUCUGCCCGGCCACGGCCCCGUCUGGGAGGUGUGCCCAGCAGCUCAUUGAGAACGGGCCAGGAUGACAAUGGCGGCUUUGUGGAAUAGAGAGGGGAGAAAGGUGGGGAAAAGAUUGAGAAAUCGGAUGGUUGCCGUGUCUGUGUAGAAGGAGGUAGACAUGGGAGACUUUUCAUUUUGUUCUGUACUAAGAGAAGUUCUUCUGCCUUGGGAUCCUGUUGAUCUGUGACCUUACCCCCAACCCUGUGCUCUCUGAAACAUGUGCUGUGUCAAACUCAGGGUUAAAUGGAUUAAGGGCGGUGCAAGAUGUGCUUUGUUAAACAGAUGCUUGAAGGCAGCAUGCUCCUUAAGCGUCAUCACCACUCCCUAAUCUCAAGUACCCAGGGACACAAACACUGCAGAAGGCCACAGGGACCUCUGCCUAGGAAAGCCAGGUAUUGUCCAAGGUUUCUCCCCAUGUGAUAGUCUGAAAUAUGGCCUCUUGGGAAGGGAAAGACCUGACCGUCCCCCAGCCCGACACCUGUAAAGGGUCUGUGCUGAGGAGGAUUAGUAUAAGAGGAAGGCAUGCCUCUUGCAGUUGAGACAAGAGCAAGGCAACUGUCUCCUGUCCGUCCCUGGGCAAUGGAAUGUCUCGGUAUAAAACCCGAUUGUACGUUCCAUCUACUGAGAUGGGGAAAAACCGCCUAUCUCACCUAUCACCGCCUAUCACCACUCCCCAAUCUCAAGUACCCAGGGACACAAACGCUGCGGAAGGCCGCAGGGUCCUCUGCCUAGGAAAACCAGAGACCUUUGUUCACUUGUUUAUCUGCU
rnacentral:lncRNA from 1 species